CAGCAAUACUCCAGACAAAGUUUCCACACCUCAAAGAACACUUAAAAUACGCACCGUCCGUCUCCGGGAAGGCCAAUAAAAGGCGGUUCGUUUAAAGGAUGCUUGUUUUGCGACUCAGAGGGUGAGCUGCUAUGUAGGAUGUUACAGACGGCGUUUAGGAGAGGACUGUUGUUCAUCUUUGGAAAGGAAGGAGAAGUUGUUCUGGAUGGCGUCUCAUUAUAUACUGGCUUAAUGUUUGGAAAAUGGUACGGUGAUUACACACAGACAUUGAAAGCGGAACUGGCUGCCAAAGGCAUAAAAGAGGCAGAAAUAGAUCCAACAGAAAAGUUGGUAGAGACUUUCACUGUCGAUGGUUAACCUUUGCUCGAAGCUGCACUGAAUUCUUAAAAGUGCGGACAGUGGAGUCGAUAGUGGAAUCACAGAGGCAAAUGUAUAUUCUAAAGGAUUUAAACACAUACUUUUAUGGUUGACUGUCCGUGGUUUUCGUUUUUUUAACUGAUUUUAAACGUUCAGAUUAGUAAUAUUCAAUAAGAAGGUAAAAUGGAAGCAAAAUGUCGCAGUAAUCUAAAGAAAGCCAGGAAAACACAAACUGUCCAUGCCGUUUUUUUCAUAACUUUGUAAAACUUCUUCCGAAACAUAAUCAGCAAAGUUUUACAAUUUUGUAAACAUGCAUCUCAAUUAAGGUUUAACAUGCAGUUGUAAAACACUAAGUGCACAGAAAUACAUGUGUAAUGUUUCAGGAGAUCUGUCAUAGUUUGCUUGAUGUAUAUAGAGCUUCGGAUUUUUUCGUUUUACUAUGUGUUUAUCGGAAGAGUAUAAGCUUAAACAACAUUACUACUAAAAAACUUUUAAUUUACAAGUCAAUAUUCGGUUAAUGGCUUAUCGUACGUGUAUUCCUUCAAUAUCCUUAUAUUUCAAUAAAUAGCUUAUCAUGUUGUACUUUUAAAUAACUGCAGUCAAUUGGAUAAAGAAAACAACCCAGAUAAAAGCCAAAAAUAACAUUGGUUAGCAAGCACUUUGUAUUGUAUCUAGCUUGUAUCUUAUCUUUUCUUGUCAAGUGUGGUUUGGGUAGCGCUGCGAGGUGAUUGUUCAUUCUGUCCUUACACAAUAAAGUAUCGUACUGUAGUAAUCAGUGUAUUAUAACUGUGUCACUAUAUUUAUUGAAAACAAUUAUGUAUUGAAUUUGUAUUGUUAUUUUAUAUUUUAAUCAGAAAUAAAAGGCGAAAAUGAAAACCAUGAUAACAUUGAAACUGACCGUGCAUUUCCUUUACAAUAAAAUGAAGUGUCCAUGUUAUAGCACGUGUACUCUUAUGUACCGAUAUGAGUGGCACAUUAUAUUUUCAUACUUUGUUUUCUUUUCUUGCUAGGGAAAAUGAAUUAAAGAACAUGUUAGAAAUGCAUUAAGCGCUAGAACGCGAAAUAUCUUUCAUUAAACAAUUAAAUAUUAAUUAAUAAUAAAAAACUUUAAACAUGUUUAUUGGCGUAGCAUAGAAUGACUACUUAUAUUCUAUCCUCUCCUUAUGAUUAUACAUGCAGUUGUAAAACACUAAGUGCACAGAAAUAGAUGUGUAAUGUUUCAGGAGAUCUGUCAUAGUUUGCUUGAUGUAUAUAGAGCUUCGGAUUUUUUCGUUUUUACUAUGUGUUUAUCGAAAGAGUAUAAGCUUAAACAACAUUACUACUAAAAAACUUUUAAUUUACAAGUCAAUAUUCGGUUAAUGGCUUAUCGUACGUGUAUUCCUUCAAUAUCCUUAUAUUUCAAUAAAUAGCUUAUCAUGUUGUACUUUUAAAUAACUGCAGUCAAUUGGAUAGAAAAAAACAACCCAGAUAAAAGCCAAAAAUAACAUUGGUUAGCAAGCACUUUGUAUUGUAUCUACCUUGUAUCUUAUCUUUUCUUGUCAAGUGUGGUUUGGGUAGCGCUGCGAGGUGAUUGUUCAUUCUGUCCUUACACAAUAAAGUAUCGUACUGUAGUAAUCAAUGUAUUAUAACUGUGUCACUAUAUUUAUUGAAAACUAUUAUGUAUUGAAUUUGUAUUGUUAUUCUAUAUAUUAAUCAGAAAUAAAAGGCGAAAAUGAAAACCAUGAUAACAUUGAAACUGACCGUGCAUUUCCUUUACAAUAAAUUGAAGUUUCCAUGUUAUAGCACGUGUACUCUUAUGUACCGAUAUGAGUGGCACAUUAUAUUUUCAUACUUUGUUUUCUUUUCUUGCUAGGGAAAAUGAAUUAAAGAACAUGUUAGAAAUGCAUUAAGCGCUAGAACGCGAAAUAUCUUUCAUUAAACAAUUAAAUAUUAAUUAAUAAUAAAAAAAAAACUUUAAAUAUGUUUAUUGGCGUAGCAUAGAAUGACUACUUAUAUUAUAUCCGCUCCUUAUGAUUAUACAUGCAGUUGUAAAACACUAAGUGCACAGAAAUAGAUGUGUAAUGUUUCAGGAGAUCUGUCAUAGUUUGCUUGAUGUAUAUAGAGCUUCGGAUUUUUUCGUUUUACUAUGUGUUUAUCGGAAGAGUAUAAGCUUAAACAACAUUACUACUAAAAAACUUUUAAUUUACAAGUCAAUAUUCGGUUAAUGGCUUAUCGUACGUGUAUUCCUUCAAUAUCCUUAUAUUUCAAUAAAUAGCUUAUCAUGUUGUACUUUUAAAUAACUGCAGUCAAUUGGAUAAAGAAAACAACCCAGAUAAAAGCCAAAAAUAACAUUAGUUAGCAAGCACUUUGUAUUGUAUCUAGCUUGUAUCUUAUCUUUUCUUGUCAAGUGUGGUUUGGGUAGCGCUGCGAGGUGAUUGUUCAUUCUGUCCUUACACAAUUAAGUAUCGUACUGUAGUAAUCAGUGUAUUAUAACUGUGUCACUAUAUUUAUUGAAAACAAUUAUGUAUUGAAUUUGUAUUGUUAUUUUAUAUUUUAAUCAGAAAUAAAAGGCGAAAAUGAAAACCAUGAUAACAUUGAAACUGACCGUGCAUUUCCUUUACAAUAAAAUGAAGUGUCCAUGUUAUAGCACGUGUACUCUUAUGUACCGAUAUGAGUGGCACAUUAUAUUUUCAUACUUUGUUUUCUUUUCUUGCUAGGGAAAAUGAAUUAAAGAACAUGUUAGAAAUGCAUUAAGCGCUAGAACGCGAAAUAUCUUUCAUUAAACAAUUAAAUAUUAAUUAAUAAUAAAAAACUUUAAACAUGUUUAUUGGCGUAGCAUAGAAUGACUACUUAUAUUCUAUCCUCUCCUUAUGAUUAUACAUGCAGUUGUAAAACACUAAGUGCACAGAAAUAGAUGUGUAAUGUUUCAGGAGAUCUGUCAUAGUUUGCUUGAUGUAUAUAGAGCUUCGGAUUUUUUCGUUUUUACUAUGUGUUUAUCGAAAGAGUAUAAGCUUAAACAACAUUACUACUAAAAAACUUUUAAUUUACAAGUCAAUAUUCGGUUAAUGGCUUAUCGUACGUGUAUUCCUUCAAUAUCCUUAUAUUUCAAUAAAUAGCUUAUCAUGUUGUACUUUUAAAUAACUGCAGUCAAUUGGAUAGAAAAAAACAACCCAGAUAAAAGCCAAAAAUAACAUUGGUUAGCAAGCACUUUGUAUUGUAUCUACCUUGUAUCUUAUCUUUUCUUGUCAAGUGUGGUUUGGGUAGCGCUGCGAGGUGAUUGUUCAUUCUGUCCUUACACAAUAAAGUAUCGUACUGUAGUAAUCAAUAUAUUAUAACUGUGUCACUAUAUUUAUUGAAAACUAUUAUGUAUUGAAUUUGUAUUGUUAUUCUAUAUAUUAAUCAGAAAUAAAAGGCGAAAAUGAAAACCAUGAUAACAUUGAAACUGACCGUGCAUUUCCUUUACAAUAAAAUGAAGUUUCCAUGUUAUAGCACGUGUACUCUUAUGUACCGAUAUGAGUGGCACAUUAUAUUUUCAUACUUUGUUUUCUUUUCUUGCUAGGGAAAAUGAAUUAAAGAACAUGUUAGAAAUGCAUUAAGCGCUAGAACGCGAAAUAUCUUUCAUUAAACAAUUAAAUAUUAAUUAAUAAUAAAAAAAAACUUUAAAUAUGUUUAUUGGCGUAGCAUAGAAUGACUACUUAUAUUCUAUCCUCUCCUUAUGAUUAUACAUGCAGUUGUAAAACACUAAGUGCACAGAAAUAGAUGUGUAAUGUUUCAGGAGAUCUGUCAUAGUUUGCUUGAUGUAUAUAGAGCUUCGGAUUUUUUCGUUUUACUAUGUGUUUAUCGAAGGAGUAUAUUAAGCUUAAACAAUAUUACUACUAAAAACUUUUAAUUUACAAGUCAAUAUUCGGUUAAUGGCUUAUCGUACGUGUAUUCCUUCAAUAUCCUUAUAUUUCAAUAAAUAGCUUACCAUGUUGUACUUUUAAAUAACUGCAGUCAAUUGGAUAAAGAAAAAAACCCAGAUAAAAGCCAAAAAUAACAUUAGUUAGCAAGCACUUUGUAUUGUAUCUACCUUGUAUCUUAUCUUUUCUUGUCAAGUGUGGUUUGGGUAGCGCUGCGAGGUGAUCGUUCAUUCUGUCCUUACAUAAUAAAGUAUCGUACUGUAGUAAUCAAUGUAUUAUAACUGUGUCACUAUAUUUAUUGAAAACAAUUAUGUAUUGAAUUUGUAUUGUUAUUCUAUAUAUUAAUCAGAAAUAAAAGGCGAAA